CCUACGGGUGGCAGCAGUGAGGAAUAUUGGUCAAUGGACGAGAGUCUGAACCAGCCAAGUAGCGUGAAGGAUGACUGCCAUAUGGGUUGUAAACUUCUUUUAUAUGGGAAUAAAAUGUUCCACGUGUGGGAUUUUGUAUGUACCAUAUGAAUAAGGAUCGGCUAACUCCGUGCCAGCAGCCGCGGUAAUACGGAGGAUCCGAGCGUUAUCCGGAUUUAUUGGGUUUAAAGGGAGCGUAGGUGGAUUGUUAAGUCAGUUGUGAAAGUUUGCGGCUCAACCGUAAAAUUGCAGUUGAAACUGGCAGUCUUGAGUACAGUAGAGGUGGGCGGAAGUCGUGGUGUAGCGGUGAAAUGCUUAGAUAUCACGAAGAACUCCGAUUGCGAAGGCAGUUCACUGGACUGCAACUGACACUGAGGCUCGAAAGUGUGGGUAUCAAACAGGAUUAGAUACCCUUGUAGUC
rnacentral:rRNA from 1 species